rnacentral:tRNA from 1 species
UGGUGCGGUAGAUCGCGGUGUGGAUCGCGGUCUCCGCGGAGGGCCGCCGGUCUCCGGCAACGGGUUCGGAGUUCUCGAUCCGCACCCGGACCAUAUCGGC